rnacentral:rRNA from 1 species
CCUACGGGAGGCAGCAGUAGGGAAUCUUCCACAAUGUGCGAAAGCCUGAUGGAGCAACGCCGCGUGGGUGAAGAAGGUCUUCGGAUCGUAAAACCCUGUUGUUAGAGACGAAAGUGCGUGAGAGUAACUGUUCACGUUUCGACGGGAUCUACCCAGACAGCCACGGCUAACUACGUGCCAGCAGCCGCGGUAAUACGUAGGCGGCAAGCGUUAUCCGGAUAUAUUGGGCGUAAAGGGAACGCCGGCGGUCUUUUAAGGUUGAUGUGAAAGCCGUCGGGUUAACCGGAGUAGUGCAUUGGAAACGGGGAGACUUGAGUGCAGAAGAGGAGAGUGGAACUCCAGGUGUAGCGGUGAAAUGCGUAGAUAUAUGGAAGAACACCAGUGGCGAAAGCGGCUCUCUGGUCUGUAACUGACGCUGAGGUUCGAAAGCGUGGGUAGCAAACAGGAUUAGAUACCCCAGUAGUC